rnacentral:rRNA from 1 species
UUUGUUACUUCAAACCAAUCGGACUUCGGUCUGACAUCAAGUGAUAUUGAACAAUUUAGCUGAUCGCACGGUCUAAGAACCGGCGACAUAUCCUUCAAAUGUCUGCCUUAUCAACUUUCGAUGGUAGAUUAUGCGCCUACCAUGGUUGUAACGGGUAACGGAGAAUCAGGGUUUGAUUCCGGAGAGGGAGCCUGAGAAACGGCUACCACAUCCAAGGAAGGCAGCGGGCACGCAAAUUACCCACUCCCGGCACGGGGAGGUAGUGACGAAAAAUAACAAGCUGGUCUCAAUGAGUUCCAGCAUUGUAAUGGGAACAAUUUAAAUCUUUUAUCGAGGAUCUAUUGGAGGGCAAGUCUGGUGCCAGCAGCCGCGGUAAUUCCAGCUCCAAUAGCGUAUAUUAAAGUUGUUGCGGUUAAAAAGCUCGUAGUUGGAUCUAGGAUUAGGGCUACGGUCGUUCAGCUUGGACGUACUGUAUGCCCGACUCCUUUUCUCUAGUAUUCGAUUGUUGCUCUUAAAUGAGUGACUUUAGUUGCUGGAACUUUUACCUUGAAAAAAUUGAAGUGCUCAAAGCAGGUU